AUUGAACGCUGGCGGCGGGCUUAACACAUGCAAGUCGAGCGAGAGGCGGGCGGGUGAGUAAUGGCUGGGAAACUGCCUGCUGGAGGGGGAUACCUACGGGAACAGGUAGCUAUUCCCGCCUCCCAUAAGAUGUGCCCAGCUGGGAUUAGCUGGUUGGGGGGGUAAUGGCUCCCCUCGUCGACGAUCCCUAGCUGGUCUGCGAGGAUGGCCAGGCAGACUGGAAAUGAGAGACGGUGCAGACGCCUACGGGAGUCAGCAGUGGGGAAUAUUGCACAAUUGGCGCAAGCCUGAUGCAGCCAAGCCGCGUGUGUGAAGAAGGCCGUCGGGUGGUAAAGCACGUUCAGCGAGGAGGCGUUACUCGCAGAAGAAGCACCGGCUAACUCCGUGCCAGCAGCCGCGGUAAUAC
rnacentral:rRNA from 1 species